UGGGGAUAUUGCACAAUGGGGGAACCCUGAUGCAGCAACGCCGCGUGAGGGAAGAAGGUUUUCGGAUUGUAAACCUCUGUCCUUGGUGAAGAAUGAUGACGGUAGCCAAGGAGGAAGCUCCGGCUAACUACGUGCCAGCAGCCGCGGUAAUACGUAGGGAGCGAGCGUUGUCCGGAUUUACUGGGUGUAAAGGGUGCGUAGGCGGCAAUGCAAGUCAGACGUGAAAUGCAGAGGCUUAACCUCUGAACUGCGUUAGAAACUGCAUAGCUUGAGUGAAGUAGAGGCAGGCGGAAUUUCCAGUGUAGCGGUGAAAUGCGUAGAGAUUGGAAGGAACACCAGUGGCGAAGGCGGCCUGCUGGGCUUUAACUGACGCUGAGGCACGAAAGCGUGGGUAGCAAACAGGAUUAGAUACCCUGGUAGU
rnacentral:rRNA from 1 species